GAUCCCGGCUCAUGAGGAACGCUAGCGGCGUGCCUAAUACAUGCAAUUCCAGCGGACCGACGGGAGCUUGCUCCCUUAGGUUAGCGGCGGACGGGUGAGUAACACGUGGGUAACCUGCCUGUAAGACUGGGAUAACUCCGGGAAACCGGGGCUAUUACCGGAUGCUUGAUUGAACCGCAUGGUUCGAUUAUAAAAGGUGGCUUUUAGCUACCACUUACAGAUGGACCCGCGGCGCAUUAGCUAGUUGGUGAGGUAACGGCUCACCCAGGCAACGAUGCGUAGCCGAACUGAGUGGGUGAUCGGCCACACUGGGACUGAGACACGGCCCAGACUCCUACGGGAGGCAGCAGUAGGGAAUCUUCCGCAAUGGACGAAAGUCUGACGGAGCAACGCCGCGUGAGUGAUGAAGGUUUUCGGAUCGUAAAACUCUGUUGUUAGGGAAGAACAAGUACCGUUCGAAUAGGGCGGUACCUUGACGGUACCUAACCAGAAAGCCACGGCUAACUACGUGCCAGCAGCCGCGGUAAUACGUAGGUGGCAAGCGUUGUCCUGAAUUAUUGGGCGUAAAGCGCGCGCAGGCGGUUUCUUAAGUCUGAUGUGAAAGCCCCCGGCUCAACCGGGGAGGGUCAUUGGAAACUGCGGCACUUGAGUGCAGAAGAGGAGAGUGGAAUUCCACGUGCAGCGGUGAAAUGCGUAGAGAUGUGGAGGAACACCAGUGGCGAAGGCGACUCUCUGGUCUGUAACUGACGCUGAGGCGCGAAAGCGUGGGGAGCGAACAGUAUUAGAUACCCUGGUAGUCCACGCCGUAAACGAUGAGUGCUAAGUGUUAGAGGGUUUCCGCCCUUUAGUGCUGCAGCAAACGCAUUAAGCACUCCGCCUGGGGAGUACGGUCGCAAGACUGAAACUCAAAGGAAUUGACAGGGGCCCGCACAAGCGGUGGAGCAUGUGGUUUAAUUCGAAGCAACGCGAAGAACCUUACCAGGUCUUGACAUCCUCUGAUAGGGCUUCCCCUUCGGGGGCAGAGUGACAGGUGGUGCAUGGUUGUCGUCAGCUCGUGUCGUGAGAUGUUGGGUUAAGUCCCGCAACGAGCGCAACCCUUGAUCUUAGUUGCCAGCAUUCAGUUGGGCACUUUAAGGUGACUGCCGGUGACAAACCGGAGGAAGGUGGGGAUGACGUCAAAUUCAUCAUGCCUCUUAUGACCUGGGCUACACACGUGCUACAAUGGGCAGAACAGAGGGCAGCGAAGCCGCGAGGCUAAGCCAAUACCACAAAUCUGUUCUCAGUUCGGAUCGCAGUCUGCAACUCGACUGCGUGAAGCUGGAAUCGCUAGUAAUCGCGGAUCAGCAUGCCGCGGUGAAUACGUUUCCGGGCCUUGUACACACCGCCCGUCACACCACGAGAGUUUGUAACACCCGAAGUCGGUGAGGUAACCUAUUGGAGCCAGCCGCCGAAGGUGGGACAGAUGAUUGGGGUGAAGUCGU
rnacentral:rRNA from 1 species